UCAGAUUUUAAUUUUAAUUAUUAUUAAAACAAUAGUCGAAACCUGUUUCUGUUUUCUUCUACAAUGGCGAUUUCUGAUCAGCCUGAGACCAUAGCCACUGCUAUCGACCAUUCUACCGUGCGCCGGAGGCCCAACGCCACCUCCGCUGGUGGUCUCUACAAUUCGCCGGAGUCCACCGACAGUUCCGGCGAAGACUUGGCCAAGGAUUCCGGUUCCGAUGACUCCAUGGACACCGUGGACAGCGCGGUCGGCUAUUCACAACCACCACAAAAGCAUGAGACUAAAACCUCCGACCUCGACUUCGCUUACCGGCCUUCGGUCCCCGCUCACCGUAGAGUCAAGGAAAGUCCUCUCAGUUCCGACAGCAUUUUCCGUCAGCUGCAGAGUCACGCGGGCCUCUUCAACCUCUGUAUCGUAGUACUUGUUGCAGUAAAUAGCAGACUCAUAAUCGAGAAUCUAAUGAAGUAUGGCUUGUUGAUCAAGUCUGGCUUUUGGUUUAGUUCAUAUUCAUUGAGUGACUGGCCCCUUUUCAUGUGUUGCCUUUCUCUUGUGGUAUUUCCUUUUACUGCCUUUGUAGUGGAGAAGUUGGCACAACGGAAUUGUAUACCUGAAUCAGUCGUUGUUCUACUUCAUAUAAUCAUUACCUCAGCUUCAGUUUUGUAUCCAAUUCUAGUGAUCCUCAGGUGUGAUUCUGCUUUUCUAUCGGGUGUCACUUUAAUGCUAUUUUCUUGCGUUGUAUGGUUAAAAUUGGUGUCUUAUGCACAUACGAACUAUGAUAUGAGACAGCUUACCAAAUCAAUUGAGAAGGGAGAAGCAGUACCCAGUAUUGUGAAUAUGGACUAUCCUUACAGUGUGAGCUUCAAGAGCUUGGUAUACUUCAUGGUUGCUCCUACAUUAUGUUACCAGCAAAGCUAUCCUCGCACACCUUAUAUUCGAAAAGGUUGGGUGUUUCGUCAAGUUGUCAAGCUGAUAAUAUUUACAGGAGUUAUGGGUUUUAUUAUUGAACAAUACAUUAAUCCUAUUGUACAGAAUUCACAGCAUCCUUUCAAGGGAGACCUUCUUUAUGCCAUCGAAAGAGUUCUGAAGCUUUCUGUUCCAAAUCUAUAUGUGUGGCUCUGCAUGUUCUAUUGCUUUUUUCACCUUUGGUUAAAUAUACUGGCAGAGCUUCUUCGAUUUGGUGAUCGCGAGUUCUACAAGGACUGGUGGAAUGCCAAAACUGUUGAAGAUUAUUGGAGAAUGUGGAAUAUGCCUGUUCACAAAUGGAUGAUCCGCCACCUAUAUUUUCCGUGUUUAAGGCAUGGUAUACCGAAGAUAAAUGACUCUGGAAUGCAUAACGAUGACUCACAUGAACAAGAAUUGCAAAGGCCGUUGCUCUUUUAAUUGCCUUCCUGGUUUCUGCUUUAUUCCAUGAGCUGUGCAUUGCUGUUCCUUGCCACAUAUUCAAAUUGUGGGCUUUCGGUGGAAUUAUGUUUCAGGUUCCUUUGGUCUUGAUAACUCAUUAUCUGCAAAAUAAAUUCAGAAACUCAAUGGUUGGAAAUAUGAUUUUUUGGUUCAUAUUCAGUAUCCUUGGACAACCUAUGUGCGUACUGCUUUACUACCACGACUUGAUGAAUAGGAAAAGCAAACUUGAGCGGAGCUAGCAUUACAUUAUUAAUUAGUUUUUUUUUUUUUUCGAAGUGUAUAUUAUAUUUAUUGAUAUCUUGGAGUACUUACAUCUACUACCUUGGCAGUUGCUGCUCUGCCCUGAAUGAAUAUGCACGUGAUAUGCCAGUUGGCGAGGCUAAUUCAUCUUGAUCUAUGUACUUCCCUCAGGCAAUUGUAUCAAUAUAUGCAUUUUUUGAGAGUCAUGCACUGCCAAGGAACACUGUAACUGCUUUCUGUCAAAUGUUAAUUAGUAGAAAGAUAGAUGUAAAUGGUUUUUGCUCAAUAUAUUUAUUUCUUCAUUGUC